UACGAACUGUGCAAACGUUAUUCGGAAUCACUGGGCUUAAAGGGUGCGUAGGCGGUCUGCCAAGUCAGGGGUGAAAUCUUUCGGCUUAACCGGAAAAGUGCCUUUGAUACUGGCGGACUUGAGGGAGGUAGGGGCAGAUGGAACUGGUGGUGGAGCGGUGAAAUGUGUAGAUAUCACUAGGAACGCCGGUGGCGAAAGCGAUCUGCUGGACCUCUACUGACGCUGAGGCGCGAAAGCCAGGGAGCAAACGGG
rnacentral:rRNA from 1 species